CAGUCGCCACGGUAAUACGUAGGGUGCAAGCGUUAAUCGGAAUUACUGGGCGUAAAGCGUGCGCAGGCGGUUAUAUAAGACAGAUGUGAAAUCCCCGGGCUCAACCUGGGAACUGCAUUUGUGACUGUAUAGCUAGAGUACGGCAGAGGGGGAUGGAAUUCCGCGUGUAGCAGUGAAAUGCGUAGAUAUGCGGAGGAACACCGAUGGCGAAGGCAAUCCCCUGGGCCUGUACUGACGCUCAUGCACGAAAGCGUGGCGAGCAAACAGGAUUAGAUACCCCGGUAGUUCCUGUCUCUUAUAA
rnacentral:rRNA from 1 species